rnacentral:lncRNA from 1 species
CCAAAGCAAGAACAAAGGAUGAUAAGAAAGAAUAAGAACCCUAGGGUGAAAAUUCAAGAGAAAAUUGGUGGAUUUCAAGUAAUCAAGCAAUCAAAGGUAAAAUUUCUUGAUUUUGACUUGUGAUCUACCUUUCCCAUACAUUCUUUUGCAUUUUCUAUGGUUGAAUCACAAGAUAUCAUGAAGGAUAGUGUGUUGAUCAAACCCUAGGAGAGAGAAUUUGAUGAUGAUUUAGAUAGAUUUUUAAGGUAUAUGGAUGUUUUUAGUUGUUUAUGGUGUUACGUGUAAGAACUAAGCUUGAAAUUCACAUAUUCCUCAUGAGUUCAUCAUUGGCCAAAUCUUCCUUGUAGAGUGUUGAUGGUGGAUUUGAUUUUAUUUCAAGUGAAUUGGUUAGGAAAUGAUGAAUUAUGGUGUGAAAAAUCAAGUAGGAAAAAUCAUAGUGUUGAUGCACUCACCGUGGCCGAAAUUCUCAAGAAGAAAUGUGAGGAUGAUUUUGCUAAAUUUUAUGCUAUUUGACUUGUGUUUGAUGGUUUGGGGAAUUGGAAGAAAAAUGGAAUUAUUGGAGUUGAAUUGGACAUAUUGGCCAAUUAAUUGAGUGAUAGAUCGAAUUAGGCUAAUACCGUUUUAUUUAGGUACACAAUUGAAUUUGUGUAGAACACCGUAUUUGGACGAUAAUCCGAACAAUUUACAUCCCAUUUCAUGCAUUAGUAUAGAGCCUGAAUUGGUUUUAUAACAAUUUAGCACAAAUGUAGUAAAUGGCUUAUUGUGCAUUAUGUCUAGGUGGUGAGCAUUCUGGCAAAAGUAAAGAGAUAGUACCCGAGGAUCAAGAAUCGGAGUACUCGAAAUUCGACUCCCGAAAUAGUGAGUAACCUUACUAUCAUCUUAAUUAUCUAAAGUGGUUUUUAUCCGAUUUUGUGAUUUUAUGGAAAAUGAGUUAAAU